GAUGAAGAACGUAGCGAAAUGCGAUAAGUAAUGUGAAUUGCAGAAUUCAGUGAAUCAUCGAAUCUUUGAACGCACAUUGCGCCCGCCAGUAUUCUGGCGGGCAUGCCUGUCUGAGCGUCAUUUCAACCCUCAUGCCCCUAGGGCGUGGUGUUGGGGAUCGGCCAAAGCCCGCGAGGGACGGCCGGCCCCUAAAUCUAGUGGCGGACCCGUCGUGGCCUCCUCUGCGAAGUAGUGAUAUUCCGCAUCGGAGAGCGAUGAGCCCCUGCCGUUAAGCCCCCAACUUUCCAAGGUUGACCUCAGAUCAGGUAGGAAUACCCGCUGAACUUAAGCAUAUCAAUAAGCGGAGGA
rnacentral:misc_RNA from 1 species